CUGUACCGCACAGUUGACUAUUAUUUUCAUUCAUAGACAUUAGUUAAGUGAAAAAAUGUGGAGCAAGGUUGCCUAUUCCUUCCUCUAAUAGGUGUCUAGGUGUUUCUGCCAAGAAUUACAAUGAACAGGCUCAAGAUCUUCUCUCCAACUUCUUUUCACUGGAUCUUUUUUCUUCUGCUUCUCGCCGUUUCUGCUGCACAAAAGCUGUGUAUCCAGCACCAACAUUAGCAGCAGAUAAAAGUGCUGCAUGGGCUGCCACUGUGGUUAAAGAAUCCUGUCCACCAGUUGGUAGAA
rnacentral:misc_RNA from 1 species